AGCCUGAACGCUGGCGGCGUGGCUAAGACAUGCAAGUCGAACGGGCCUAGCAAUAGGUCAGUGGCGAACGGGUGAGUAAAGUAUCGCUAACGUACCCCUGAGUCUGGGAUAGCCGGAGGAAACUUCGGGUAAAUACCAGGUGACAUUCUCCAUUCGCAUGGAAGGAGACUCAAAGGAGCAAUCC
rnacentral:rRNA from 1 species